UUUGCUGUAUAUAAGCCUCAGGGUGAGGGUGUGCGGUCUCUUUGUUGGAUUCUCUCGUCGACUUAAGAUCUGGGUGCAAUUUAUUGUGGGGUCCUUGGUGUGGCGUUUGCGGCGGCGCUUGUGGAUGGA